UAUGGUCAUUGAUCAACCACCCCUGCCCUAAAACCUCAAGGUCUGUCUUCUCUCCGGUGUCUUUCUCGCCAGUCUCUCCCUCAAGCUGUCUCAACUAUGUCACGGCUGGUGUCGGUGUCGCACUCAAUAUCUGUCGUCUCCGGCGUCUCAUUUCUCUCCGGUCUGGCACUCCACAUCUCGAACGCCGUUAGAGCCUUUUCCACUCAAGUUCAGAGUCCAGGCUCUCCCUCAACACUCACUCAGCCUCAGCCGGUCUGCACUCUGCUCCUCAACGACGCUCAGCCCCUCCACCGUCGCAGUGCCUGGCGCACGCUUUCCCUCCCUCGCAGUGGCAGCGGCCGUUGUUCAUUAGAUGCAACCCCACUUCGAAGCAAUCGCCCUAACUCAUCCGCUGAACUCGGUGCCGUUAGCGUCCUCCGCAGUGCAAUCAGCGCAGAAAAUAGUCGCAUUCCUCAAAAUCCUUCACCUGCUCUAUCAAACUCUGUGUAUGUGGAUGUCUCAGGAUCUCCUGAAGCUGCUGAUCAAUAUCUAGUGAAGGUCUUAAUCGUGUCCCUGAAGCUACUCUUUCAUAGUUGAAGCGCACUACCUGAGCAAUGGUCUGAAUCAAGUAGGUAGCAGAUUCUAUGCAACGGUUGGUGCAAAAAGGUGAGUCUGAUCAAGGGUCUUUAUUAUGGUUUGAUGCAAAAAGAUUUGCGGGUAUGUGAUAUUGCAAUCAAAAUAAGGCUUUGCUCGCAUAAUUAGACCUGGAAAUGGGUGGAAUUUGUGUUUCGACAUUCAUUUUUGACAGAGACAUCUGGAAAUUGAAACGACACAGAGAAUUGAGCCAUCACUGUUGCUUGCCGUCAACCUAAUAUACAGCACGUAACAUUGAAACUACAUAGGAAACUGAUACAUGACAAGUUUGUAAUUGGAGCUUGAGGAGAACCACGACAUCAUUCUUUGGCACUAUACAGAGCAAUGGAGAUAAGAAUAUCCACUUAACUGGCAUUUCUUGACCCAUCAAUCUCUGUGGGAUCGACCUCACUCAAAGUGAGUUAUUACUUGACUACGACCCGGUAUACUUGCCGGUGGAAUUAUUGUUAUAAAUUUUUUCGUAUCAAGUUUUUAGCGUCGUUGCUGGGAUUGAUAUAGAUUGACAAUUAUUAAGUUGAUGGAUACCUAGAUUAAACUAUUUUCUUCUAUUUUGCACACUAACUGUUUGACACUUGGUGUCACCUAACUCUAACCUUGCUCUGGCUUGAGAGUGAUCACUCUUUCAAGUGGUUUGUUUGUGUUCUGUGUAUGCCAGGAGGAAGAAGAGAAUGAUAAACUUCUUUUGAUUCUGAACUCGAGAGGACUUUCCUGAGGCUAAGGAGAGAAGCAAGAGGCAAAGGGGUCAUCGGUGAAGAGGAAGAAGACCUAGAUCAAGUCAUGGAAGAUGAUAUACCCCAUCAACAUGAAGAGGUUGCUAACAAUAAUGUUCAACCCGGUAGGAGGGUGUUAGCUUCUUACACCAUCCCCAAUUUCAGGAACUGUGGAAGCAGUAUACUUAUUCCUAAUGUGCACGCAAACAAUUUUGAGCUCAAACCUCAGCUCAUGACUCUAGUCCAUAACAAUUGUCAGUAUGGAGGAAGUCCCAUGGAAGACCCCAAUCAACAUUUGUCUGUGUUCUUAAGAAUAUGUGAUACGGGGUCAAGACAAAUAGGGUACAACCAAACAUAUACAAGUUGCUUUUAUUCCCCUUUUCUCUAAGGGUGUGUGUGGUUGGAGGAAUUAUUUUAUAAUUCCUAGGAAUUUUAAGAUGGGAAUAUCAUAUUGUCAUGUUUGGUUCAAAGUUUGAAAAGCUAUUCCUAAGCAAGUUUGAUUCCAGGGAAUCAAAAUACCAUCAUUUUAAUUCCCACCUUCUCCUUGGGUAUCUUUGAUUCCUAUGGGAAUGGAAUCUUUGUAACAAAGUAAUACUUGAACCACACACACCCUAAGGGAUAAGGCAUCUCAAUGGCUAGAGACAUUUCUAAAGGAGAGAAUCACCAAUUGGGAUGAUUUAGUUAACAAAUUUUUGGCCAAAUUCUUUCCAUUUCAAAGAAUCAUUAAGCUGAAAACUGAGGUGCAAACUUUCAGGCAAAUGGAGGGAGAGUCACUUUAUGAGGCUUGGGAGAGAUAUAAAGCAUUGAUGAAGAGGUGCCCACCAGACAUGUUCAAUAAGUGGGUACGACUUUAAAACUUCUAUAAAGGUUUAACUCUAGAAGCAAGAAAAGAACUGGACUACUCAUUAAGAGGCUCACUCCAAAUGAUGAAGACUCCCGAAGAAGCACAAGAUCUCAUUGAAAUUGGGGCGAACAAUUAAUAUUUCUACUCUUUGAAGAGGCACACAACUCCAAAAAAGGGAGUAUUGGAGCUUGAUGGUGUGGAUGGUAUCUUGGCCCAAAACAAGCUCAUGCACCAAUAGAUUCAACAACAAAUGGAGAUGAUGACUAAGAGGAUGAACGGAUUGCAACUAGCGUCUGUGAGCACACAAAGCCAAGAUCAAAUGUCAAAUGGAGUGAAUCAGCUUGAAGAAAGUUUUGAACCAUUCACCUAUGAGCAACAAGGCCCAGAGCAAGUCCAAUACAUAAACAACACCUCAAGUUCUUUUCAACAUGACUCCUAUGGUGACACAUACAAUCUAGCAUGGAGGAAUCAUCCCAACUUGAGGUGGGAUGAGAAUCAGAAACAAGGGCAAAGGAACUCAAAACUCCAACAAUUUUCGCAAUACAACCACAACCAACCAACCACUAACAAUAACCAAUUCAGAAAAUCACAAAAUACACAUUUCCAACCCCAGAACAAUUUCUUCACACUUGCAUUCAACACACAACACCCCUUCAAAUGUCUUAAACAAUUUUCACCAACAACCAUCUAAUUCAACACAAACAUAACCUCAUCCAGACUCCCAAAAGAUCUCCAAUCUAGAAUCAAUGAUAGAGAGAUUCAUAAAAACCCAAGAAAUGACAAACAAAUCAAGAGGCUUCAAUAAGAAACCUUGAAAGACAAGUGGGACAAUUAUCUAAGCAACUUGCUGAGAGCUAAUGCUUUUCCAAGCGAUACAAUUUCUAAUCCAAAGGAGGAAUGCAAGGCUAUACAGUUGAGGAGUGGCAAGACAGUGGGAGAAGAAACUAAGGAUAUCAACAAGGAAGAAACAGAGAUAAAGGAAAAUGACAAGGUGGAUCACAAGAAGAACAAUGAGUCACAAGCCUCAAGAAGGGACAAGAAAAUCAUGGAGCCACAACCACAAGAAAAGAAGGGAGAAGUGAAGCUAUAUGUCCAUAAAUUCCCUUACCCACAGGCUACACAAAGAGAUGAGGGAUCAACAAUUUCCUAAGUUCUUAGAAAUCUUCCGGAAGCUUGAAAUCAACAUUCCAUUAGCUAAGGCUUUGGAUCAGAUGUCAUUGUAUGCAAAGUUUCUUAAAGAACUCAUUACAAAAAAGGAGAGUUAAAAAGAGAAAGAAAUUGUGAUCCUCAAUCAAGAAUGUAUUGCCAUAAUUCAAAAGGGUCUUCCACUAAAACUCGGAUCCAGGAAGCUUCCUUAUACCAUGCACCAUUGGAAACAUUCGACAAAGUCUUUUGUGACUUGGGAGCAAGCAUCAAUCUAAUGCCUCUUUCCAUGAAGAAGAAACUACUAAUAGAGGAGGUUAAGCCUAUGAGAAUGUCACUGCAAUUUGUUGACAGGUCUCUCAAGAUACCCACUGGAAUGGUGGAAAAUCUAUUGGUGAAGAUUGAAAAAUUCAUUUUCCCUGUUGAUUUUGUAAUUUUGGAUAUGGAUAAAGAAGGGAGCAACUCAAUUAUUCUUGGAAGGCCUUUGUUAGCCACAGCCAAAGCAAUAAAUGAUGUGGAAAAGAAUGAAAUGAUUCUCAGGGUGCAUGAUGAGCAGAUGGUUCUCAAUGUUUUCAAGGUGAUGCAAUACCCUGCUGAGAAAGAAAACUGUAUGAGGAUAGAUAUGGUAGACACUUUGGUUGAAGAGGUACUCGAGACAAACCACUAUGAAGAGUAUGAAGAAGAAGUUCAAGACAUUUAACUAGAGGACUUAGAGGGAACACAAACAACUGAGAGAUCACUUGAGGGCAAGAAAGAAAAGGCACCAAAGCAAGAAUUGAAGCCUCUACUUCCAGGUCACAAAUAUGCUUUCCUUGGUGUUGAGGAGACUUUUUCAAUGAUCAUCAACUUUAACUUGAAUAUAGAAAAAGAGGGAAAGCUACUUGAUGUAUUGAGAACUUACAAGAAUGCACUAGGAUGGAUAAUUGACCUAAAAGGGUAUAAGCCCCACUAUUUGUAUCCACAAGAUACUUCUGGAGGAGGAUUUUAAGCUAGUGGUGCAACCUCAUAGAAGGCUUAAUUUCACAAUGAAAGAAGUAGUUUAGAAGGAGGUGAUGAAACUGUGGGAUGCAGGGAUUAUAUAUCUUAUUUCUGACCGUUCCUGGUUAGUUCAAUACAGGUGGUACCAAAGAAGGGAGACAUGACUGUUAUCUCUAAUGAGAAAAAUGAGUUUAUCCCCACAAGAAUAGUAACUGGGUGGAGGAUGUGUAUUGAUUAUAGGAGAUUAAACAAUGCCACAAGAAGGACCAUUUUCUUCUUCCUUUAAUUGAUCAGAUGUUAAAAAGGUUGGCUGGUCAUGUUUUUAAUUGUUGUCUGGAUGGAUAUUCUGGAUAUAAUCAGAUAGUUGUGGACCUGAAGGACCAAGAUAAGACUUCAUUCACUUGUCCCUUUGGAGUCUUUGCAUAUAGAAGAAUGUCAUUCGGGUUAUGCAAUGCUCCAGCAACUUUUCAAAGAUGCAUGCUCUCCAUCUUUUUCGAUAUGGUAGGAAAGUUCAUAGAUGUAUUUAUGGAUGAUUUUUCUGUUUUUGAUGACUCUUUUAAUACUUGCUUGUAUCAUCUUAUCCUUGUCUUGAAGAGAUGCCAAGAAACAAAUUUGGUUUUAAAUUGAAAAAUGUCAUUUCAUGAUACCCAAGGAGAUUGUUCUUGGUCAUAAAAUCUCAAAUAAGGGUAUAGAAGUUGACAAGGCAAAGGUAGAAGUCAUAGAAAAGGAAGUUAUGACCUCUAUGAACUUUUUUACCAGGAAAGAUGGAGAACAUGCAUCUUUGGAAGGUUGUUGGAGCAUUGCAUAACUCGAAUGUCAUUCUUCUAUAUGCAAAGACUUCAAAGGGACAAGUAAAUGAAGUCUUUUCUUGAUCUUUGGGGUCCACAACUAUCUGAUUAUAUUCAGAAUACUCAUCCAAAAAACAAUAAAAAACAUAAUCAGCCAACCUUUCUAAUAUCUGAUCAAUGAAAGGAAGAGGAAAAUAGACAUUCCUUGUGGCAUUGUUUAAUCUCCUUAAUCAAUACACAUCCUCCACCCAGUUACUGUUCUUGUGGGGAUAAGUUCAUUUUUCUCGUUAGAGAUAACAGUCAUGCCUCCCUUCUUUGGUACCACUUGGGACUAACUCAAGGGCGGUUAGAAAUAAGAUAUAUAAUCUCUGCAUCCUACUUCAUCACCUCCUUUUGAACUACUUCUUUCAUUGUGGGAUUAAGCUUUCUUUGAGGUUGAAUCCUCCAGAAGUAUCUUGUGGAUGCAAAUUGUGAGGCUUAUACCCUUUCGAUCAUCAAUUGUCUAGUCUAGUGUACUCUUGUAAGUUCUCAAUACAUCAAGUAGCUUUUCCUCUUCUUCUGUACUCAAGGUAGAGUUGAUGAUCACUGGAAAAGUCUCCUCAGCACGAGGUAGAGGCUUCAAUUCUUGCUUUGGUGCCCUUCUUUCUUGCACUCAAGUGAUCUUUCGGUUGCUUGUGUUCCCUCUGAGUCCUCUAGUUGAAUGUCUUGAACUUAUUCUUCAUGCUCUUCAUAGUGGUUUGUCUCAAGUACCUCUUCAACCAAAGUAUCUACUAUAUCUAUUCUCAUACAGUUUUCAGGUAUUGAAUUGCCUUGAAAACAUUGAGAACCAUUUGCUCAUCAUGCACUAUGAGAACCAUUUCACCCUUUUCAACAUCAAUUAUUGUUCUGGUUGUGGCUAAGAAAGGUCUUCCAAGAAUAAUUGAGUUUCUCCCUUCUUCAUCCAUAUCCAAGAUUACAAAAUCAACUGGGAAUAUGAAUUUCCCAACCUUCACCAAUCGAUUUUUCACCACUCCAUUGGGUAUCUUGAGAGACUUGUCAGCAAGUUGCAGUAACAUUCUCGUAGGCUUAACCUCCUCUAUUAGCAUUUUUCUUCAUCAUGGAGAGAGGCAUUAGAUUGAUGCUUGAUUUCAAAUCACAAAGGACUUUGUCAAUUGUCAUGUUUUCAAUGGUGCAUGGUAUUAGGAAGCUUUCUGGAUCUUUAAGUUUUGGUGGAAGACCCUUUUGAAUUAUAGCAAUACAUCCUUGAGUGAGGAUCACAAUUGCUCUUUCUUUCUAACUCUUCUUUUUGGUGAUGAGUUCUUUAAGAAACUUUGCAUACGGUGACAUCUGUUCCAAAGUCUCAGCUAAUGGAAUGUUAAUUUCAAGCUUUUGGAAGAUUUCUAAGAACUUAGGGAAUUGUUGAUUUCUCAUCUCUUUGUAAAAAUGUGUACCGGUGCUUAAGCCGGCAGUACCGGCCCUAAAUUGUCUGGUACUGUGUUUUAAGAAAAUAAGAUUUUGAAAAUUUAAUUUAUUGUUUUGAAAAGAUAAAAAUAAUUUGAAAUUAAGAAUUGGGCAAUAAUUCUAAAGGUUUUGGCCCAAAGGCCAAACGGACCUAAAAUGCUAACGGGUUAGAUUGGGUCCAAGUUGGGCCCAAAUCCAACAUAGAUAUAUGAUCAUUAAGACGCAUUCAGCCUCAUUUGGGCCACGCAUUGCUCUCGCCGAGCCCGUCAUUUCUAGCUAAGUUUUGUAGGUAAGAUCUCUAAAAUCGCGCUCCAAUUUUCAGCCCUAGCAUUUUCGCAUUUUUUAGUUUUAUUUUUGAGUAGAUUUUGUGAUUUUGUUUGUUUAGGGGUGAUCUAGCAUUGAAAUAUUGUUGGGUUUUGUCCCUAAUCUUGUGGGUAAGGUAAGGUUUCACUAAAUCCUUGCGUUUAGUUAUUUUGUGAACCUUAGGUUUGAUGUUGGUAUGUUUUAUGAUGUUAGAUUGAGUUUUAGUGUUUGUUGGAGUUGGUUUGAGGCUUUGGAUCGGGCUUGGUGGCUUUGUUUUGGUAUUUGGCGCAUUUUGGGAAUCGGACAAGGUAUGAUUUCGGUCUCCUUUAUGUAAUAUGUAAUGUUUCUGGACACUUAGGCUAGUAAACGUUAGGAUAUGUUUGAAUUGUUGAUGAAUUAUGAUGUUAAAUGAUGAUGAUGUUGUGGAUUGAAUGAUGUUAUAUUUGAGUAAAUGGUAUGGAGUGGAUAAAAGUUAUUUAUAUGGUUCGAAAUACAGCUCUUCUAUUCAAAUGGUGGUGGAGGUUCUCGAAGGAGGACUGUCCCUUAUGGAAGAAAGUAGUGUGCUCUUGUAAUAACAUGAAUCCGUCUGAGAUGCUACAUGGUCAACCUAUUCCUUUAAGAGGGGGUUCGUGGAGAGACAUUUGUCAGCUACAAAUUCGAGAGCCACAAAUCAGAGAGCAGAUGAUUAGAGGCUUGUCAAUGGAAGUGGGAAACGGUAGAACAAUCAGGUUCUGGGAAGAUGACUGGUUAAAUGGUGGUGUCUUGAAAGAUUUGUUCCCUAGACUUUUCUCGGUUUCAAACCUUAAAGGAUCUGUCAUAGGUGACUGCGGGUUUUGGAAUGGGUUAGAGUGGAUAUGGAGCUUUCAGUGGAGGCGACAGUUGUUCCAAUGGGAGCUGGAACUUUUGAACCAACUCCAUGAGAGACUACGUUCAGUUACGCUAGCAACAGAGAGAGAGGAUAGGGUGGUUUGGAAAUUUGAUAGAACUGGUAUUUUCUCUACUAAAUCCUUUGUGCAGGUAAUGCAGGAGGCAGUCCUUCCGGAGGAAGUAACAAGCUAUAGCUUCACUAGUGCUAUUUGGAGGGGUUUCGUCCCACUAAGGGUCGAAUUAUUUUCUUAGUUUGUUCUGAUUGAGAGGGUGAAUACCAAAGAACGACUGUGCAGAUUAGGGGUCAUUAACCCGCUUGAUAAUUUAUGUGCCUUAUGCUGUAAGUCUGUUGAGUAUGCUUUUCAUCUGUUUCUUGGGUGUGAGGUCACAUGGCAGGUAUGGGGUGCUUGGCUUUAUGCGCUUGGAUGAGAAUGGUCUGUACCAGGUACACUAAAGCAACAUUUUGAGAGCUGGACGACUGCUGCACCACGAAAGGAUGAGAGGAAGAGGUGGUUGAUUGGAUUCUUUGCUGUAAUCUGACAAUUUGGUUGGAAAGAAAUAAUCGGGUGUUCCAGAAUAAAGGCUCAGCAGUACAGGAAAUCACUAACAGGUCUUUUGUGCUUUCCGACGAGUGGAUUGGUGGUGCAGUCUUUGGUUGUUGAUGGUGAUGCCGAAGAUGACUCGAGGUUGCGUUACCUAUUUCAGUUGUUAGUAAUCUUUAUUUAGUUGUACUUAUGGCUUCUGAAUUCUGUUUGCUCCGCCUUGUGUGUUGAGCUAUUUAUUUCAAAAAAAAAAAAGUAGGUUGAAUUGAUGUAUAAGUGUUUUGUUGAUGUUGGAUUGAUGGUUGUUGAGAAUCGUGAUUUAUGAGUAUGAAUUUUUGGAAAAAUUUGAUGAGUUUGGUAA